rnacentral:rRNA from 1 species
CAGCAGCCGCGGUAAUUCCAGCUCCAAUAGCGUAUAUUAAAGUUGUUGUGGUUAAAAAGCUCGUAGUUGAACCUUGGGCCUGGCUGGGCGGUCCGCCUCACCGCGUGUACUGGUCCGGCCGGGCCUUUCCCUCUGUGGAACCCCAUGCCCUUCACUGGGCGUGGCGGGGAAACAGGACUUUUACUUUGAAAAAAUUAGAGUGCUCCAGGCAGGCCUAUGCUCGAAUACAUUAGCAUGGAAUAAUGAAAUAGGACGCGCGGUUCUAUUUUGUUGGUUUCUAGGACCGCCGUAAUGAUUAAUAGGGACAGUCGGGGGCAUCAGUAUUCAAUGGUCAGAGGUGAAAUUCUUGGAUCCAUUGAAGACUAACUACUGCGAAAGCAUUUGUCAAGGAUGUUUUCAUUAAUCAGGAACGAAAGUUAGGGGAUCGAAGACGAUCAGAUACCGUCGUAGUCUUAACCAUAAACUAUGCCGACUAGGGAUCGGACGAUGUUAUUUUUUGACUCGUUCGGCACCUUACGAGAAAUCAAAGUGCUUGGGCUCCAGGGGGAGUAUGGUCGCAAGGCUGAAACUUAAAGGAAUUGG